rnacentral:rRNA from 14 species
GAUGAGCUUGACUCUAAUCUGACUUCGUGAAAUGACUUAGGAGGUGUAGGAUAUGUGGG